ensembl:lncRNA
GUUUUAAAGCUCGUUCCUUUGCAGGCAGCAUCAGGGUGAACAGCAUGGAUCCUGGGGCCUGGAUUCAAAAACCAGCUGAGCCCAUGUUCCCAGCUAGGUGACUGCAGCAAGCUAUGUAAUCUUUGGGGACCUCUGUUUCUCAACCGUAAAAUGGGAUGAUAAUAGCAUCUCCCCCACAGGAGACUUAACUGCUUGAAUAUUCAUGAGGUGCUCAAAAUAGUGCCUGGCAGGUGGGCCGGUCCCUGUAAGAAUUUGGUGAUUUACGAAAAUAAGAAGGUCCUCACCAGGUGAUUCUCACCCGCCUUGGGAGGGAGCACGGUCAGUUGAGAUACGCUCUCAGCUCUGCAAAGCUCUUACCCCUCACCAGGCUCUAUCCAAGUAAUUGCUCCUGAGGCUUCAUUCCAAAUGGGCCAUAAAUCAGAGGCCAGGGGCUCCUGUUACCCGCGGCUGGUGGUGCAGUCCCUCCCCGGGGUAAUGGGAAGCAGAUGCGCCAAAUCAGUCUGGCCUCCAGAGGCCUGUGUACCUGAGCUGCUCACACACACCAAUACAGGCAAGAAUUUCCACCAGCCCUUAAGGUGAGGGUUGUCAGAGAAACAGCCUCCUAGGGCUUCCAGAUGUUCAGCGGCUUGUUUCAGGCAGGAGGGCUGACCAGGAGGCAAGGUGUGGGGCCAGGAGGUGGCAAGCUGUGAAGGGACCAGUGCGAGCUUUGCAGGUGUGAGGACCUGCUGAAAAUUCUCCACUUCUCACUGUUUCAGCCUGAGCUCUACAACCACGGGUUGUACCUUUCCAGACCUCUGUUUCCUCACCUGUGAAAUGGCUGUGAUGUUACCUAACUCCAAGACAUCUGAAGGGUGGGAAGUCAUUUAAGUGAAAUCCCCAGUAGAGUGUCAGACACACAGUGAGACAGGCUGGGGCCUGGGACCCUCUGCUGCAAUGCUUGCACCUGGACUCGUCUCUCCUCCAGCAACAAAAUACAAAGAAACAGUAUGGGACUAAAAAUAGCUGCAUGCAUGCACCCCUGGGGGCAAAUUCUGAACCCUAAAGAUACAAAGAGACCAAAAAUUCAACUGCCGUUUCUGAAGAGCCUGGAGCAAAAGCAGAGUACUGCCCCUGCCCCCUGCACACAACACCACUGGAGGGGUGGGCUCAACCCCUAAGC